rnacentral:misc_RNA from 1 species
CGCACAUUGCGCUCCCUGGUAUCCCGGGGAGCAUGCCUGUCCGAGCGUCGUUUCAACCCUCGAGCCCCAGUGGCCCGGCGUUGGGGCCCUACUGCACUGUAGGCCCUGAAAACCAGUGGCGGUCCCGCGCGGCCCUCUCCUUUGCGUAGUAGCAUUAGCCUCGCAUCGGGAGCCCGUGGGCGCUUGCCUCUAAACCCCCAACAAGCCCGCUCCGGCGGCACAUGGUUGACCUCGGAUCAGGUAGGACUACCCGCUGAACUUAA